CCUACGGGUGGCAGCAGUGAGGACUAUUGGUCAAUGGACGAGAGUCUGAACCAGCCAAGUAGCGUGAAGGAUGACUGCCCUAUGGGUUGUAAACUUCUUUUAUAUGGGAAUAAAAUGUUCCACGUGUGGGAUUUUGUAUGUACCAUAUGAAUAAGGAUCGGCUAACUCCGUGCCAGCAGCCGCGGUAAUACGGAGGAUCCGAGCGUUAUCCGUAUUUAUUGGGUUUAAAGGGAGCGUAGGUGGAUUGUUAAGUCAGUUGUGAAAGUUUGCGGCUCAACCGUAAAAUUGCAGUUGAAACUGGCAGUCUUGAGUACAGUAGAGGUGGGCGGAAUUCGUGGUGUAGCGGUGAAAUGCUUAGAUAUCACGAAGAACUCCGAUUGCGAAGGCAGUUCACUGGACUGCAACUGACACUGAGGCUCGAAAGUGUGGGUAUCAAACAGGAUUAGAUACCCCAGUAGUC
rnacentral:rRNA from 1 species